UGAAUUUGCUGAAUUGAAAAA
rnacentral:piRNA from 1 species